CAUAUUAGUGUCACAGAGAACUGGGCUCAAGCUCCCACUGUGACAUCAAAGGGCCAAGUCAUGUGGCUGGUAACGGGAUGGGGGGGGAGGGGGAAGGCCUAAUGAUAGUCCUGUCCUUGCUAGCUGUGCCCAUUUCGGCAUCAGAAUGUCCCCUCCAGGGGUUGCCCCUGGAGGGGUUGACAAAUGGCCAGGUGACUCUCACCUGGAGAACUGUUCAGCUUUUGGGGCUUCUUAAGGGCUGGGGAGGACCCUGAGGCAGGGUGGAGGGUGGGGGGCAGCAGUCAGCGGCUGCAGCAUCUGACCCCAGGAGAGAACAAGAGAAAGAGAAGUGGAGCAAGUGGGAGAGAACUCACUCCGCGCUCUCUCCUGGACUUCUUCCAGACCCCCAGCCGCAGAAACAGCUUUCCUUCUGCCAGCUCUCCACGGCACAUGGAGCAUCAUGAUUCACUCGGCCCACAGUCCAAUAACCACCUGUCCACGAUGGCAGCCGCCAGCCACACGUGGCUAUGAAGCACGUGAAAAGUGGCCCAUCCCAACUGAGACGACCCAGAAGCGUGAAAUACACUCCUGAUUUCAAAGAGCCAGUAUGAAAAAAGAAAACGCAGGAAGGCAGCUCGGAGAGUUUUAAGUGGUUAACUGAAUCCGCACAAUACACACAGGCCCCAGGCCAUCCAAAUUUGCACCUAUUUGCAAGCCGACCGGGGUGCAAAAUUGUUCCCCCAGUUGCAGCUUGCUCACGGAGUCUUCUUCCUGCUCGACCGGUUCAGCCUAUAUCUCCGGAGCAUCAGUCAUGCUCACUGCUGCGGGAUACAGUAUCCGGCAGACAGUAGUUGCUCGAUAAACGUUUUUGAAAACAUGACAGAGAAGACAGAAGCGUUCUUCUUAAGGGACCCGCAGACCAGUGUGGACGGGGCUACAAACAAACCGUGGCAGUGCGGCGUGCAAGGUGCCGGAGUGCGUGGUGGCAGCUUGGCCUCCAAAGGAAGACAGCGCAGGCUGUCCGGGAGAGGUGGCGGGACGUGGGUGUUGGAGGUGAGU